UUUAUUUUCCACCAAGAGGUCAUGAAUAGGGAGGAACUAAACUACAUUUUACUUUCACUUUCACAGCCUCAUGAAAUACAAUAUCAGACGUAGGCUAGGCUAUAAACCACAUAAUGGUUUAGCAUAUCUCAUUUGAACUUUUAUUUAUUAUCUAAACAAACUAAUUAGCAAAUAUGCCCAAACUAACGCUCAUCGGAUUGUGCUUCUGGCUUUAUGUGGCGCAAAAGUUGGUUUCCGGAGAUCUUUAUCUUAAAGUGGGAGGUGAGCUCGUGUUGAAACCAGACAAGUCCACAGUGACUGACCCCAUCACAAGCAUCCUAUGGAAGCAUGGGAAGAACAAGGUGGCAGAGUGGGACAAGGAUUUUGGUGGUCUGGACAUCUAUGCUGCCUUCAAAGAGCGUACAACCCUGGACCAGACUUCUGGAGAGCUGAGAAUCAGGGGAUUGAAGAAAACAGACAGUGGCGUUUAUUCUGUGGAGUUCAACAGCAAACUGCUUCACAAGACAUAUACAUUAUCUGUUAUCAAGGCAGUCCCCAAACCCACAAUCACUUCUUCCUGUAACCCAGACAAAACCUCCUGCACUCUGACCUGUGAGGGUGACACCACUGAUGCUGAACCAGUCACCUACAGCUGGGAAGAGGGAGAGAGGGUGUCCAAGGUCUUAGACAAAGAGCUAAGUGUCUCUAAAUCAACCAAUGGUAUCAAGUACACCUGCAAGCUGAGUAAUGCUGUUAGUUCGAAUGUCAGUGAGCCAGUUGGAGAGGUGUUUGGUCCAGAGCGUUCCAGUAUCGGUGCUGUUGUUACUUUGGUUGUCGUUGCCAUUGUAGCGUUUGCUGUCAUAAUAGGAUUUUUGGUGUGGAAGAAAAAGACAGCUAAAGGCAGUGACGGAGUCCAGCCAGAACAGAGCAAGGAUUUCACUAACGGGGGAAGACAACGCAGUCCAAACUGGAAAGGGGCAGGGGAAUGGAGCUAAAGGCAGUGAUGUAGUCCAGCCAGAACAAGCUGAAGCCAGCGGAUCCAACAGUCCUACAGUUCAGUCCAAGCUUGAGGCUGGUGGUCUUCCUGGUGGGGUAACUGAGGACCAGAAACAUGGGGUUUGAAGGCUCUCAGUACAUGACUCCUUAUGUUACAUUGAGACAAAUGACCAAGAAGAGAGAAACAUGUUUGAACUGUUGGAGAUGUUUUUAAUGAAAUAUAAAAUGAAGGAAAACAACAGGCGAACGUUGCACAAAGUAACAUGCAUUCAAUCAGAUGAAGUACAGUGAGCUACGAAGUAUUGCGUCAGUGACAUAUUUUGUUGUUUUGGCUCUAUACUCCAGCACUUUGGGUUUGACAUGAGAUCAUGACUAUAAGGUUAAAGUGCAGACUAUCAGCUUUAACCCGAUAUGGAUGAGAAUAACCUCAAAUUAAAGCUGACAGUUUGCACUUUAACCUCAGUUGUUGUAUGACUUCAAAUCCAAAGUGCUGGAGUACAGAGCCAAAACAACCAAAGAAAGUGUCACUGUCCCAAUACUUUUGGAGCUCACUGUAUAAUGUGAUGAACAGUGUGCUUUAUGAACUUACAGUACUUCAGAAAUAUGAGGGCAAUAUUUGUAUCUCAGAACAAUUUGAUGAUGGACAAAAAUGAGAUUCUUAUACUUUGUGAGGUAAAUAGCUUUGUGGAUUCUUAUCCUUUCUCAGUAUUCAUGCCUCGUCUUUACAAAUCUCAAUCAAUUUGUGCAGGUUGAUUGAAGCCAUAGUGUCAAUCACUUUGUGGUUGGAUGAUUCCUUUUCAGGUAUUUUCUCCAGAGCGCUUUAUGCCAACCCAAUGCACUUUCUGUUUUAAAUCGCAGCUUGUGAAUGUCUUAUCAUUUCAUAAUUGACUAAUUCUUAAAGCCUUCACUUGACUUAUGUCAAGUAAUUUGUACAGGUUGUUAUUGUUUUAAUUAUAAGAAGGAGAGCUCUGUAGUACUGAGAUGUAUUACUAAAACAUUUUAAUGCCUUAAUAUUUGAAUGUUGUCUUCGUCAAAUUACCAUCUGGUAUCUGUUUUCACAAUAGAAUUUUGUGACUAGGAUUUUAAGAUGUAUAUUAUUUUCUCUAUCUGUACAUCAAUCUGUGACGGACCAAAGUAAGGGGAAACAGCAGUGUACACUAGUUGCCACCAGAUAGGUAAGAACAUUUGUUGGGCAAGACCACUAACCUGGUAUAUCCCAGGUUUUAGUUUUGUUACUGGUAUGUCUCCGGUAAUUCCGUUACAGAAGAAGUUAUGAAUUAAGACCAGCCGCAUUGCUUUAUUUUAAGACUGGACUGUUCAAUAAUGGAGUCCUGGCACAUGCAAAAACAUGUACCUGUACAAUCAUUGUAUGUAUCUCUGUUUAAACUCCAGGUUUCACGCUGUAGUGAUGUGUUGAUGACUGAAUGAUUGUGUUGUACACAACAUCUGAACACCAAUUGUGUUUCAGCACUUUGGCUUAAGAUAGGGAAAAAAUACAAACUUGAUUGGUGAAAGCAAUACAGAGGAAGGUCCAUAUAGGGCUGGGUUCAGACAUCACUAACAUACAUAUCCCUAUCUGAACCCUUCAGAUCUGUGACUAGUGAGCCGGGGAAAGGGACUAGUUAACUAGACUUAGAGAUCAGUCUCGUUGCAUGACUUCUCAGCUCGGUUCGCUUAAUGGCUCACACAACAGGACAGACAAUUCCUAAAUCAAGUGUCCACUCCUUCCUUCUGAGACAUGCUGCUGUGCAAAACAAAUGCACUUGAAAGCGCAGUGUGUUUAUUUUAUCUGCAACAAUUGUAUUCCAGCCUGCAUGUCCUGCCAAUCCUUUGUGAAUUUGAGGUGUUUGAUAUUUAUAUUUUUUCAAUAAAGGAGUUGAUGAGUUUUA